UGCUUUCUACUCCUUUUCUACCUUGUUAUGAACAUCCUGGAGGCUAAAGGUUGGGAGGAUUUUGAGAGAAAGAUGAGAAGGAGUUACUGGACAGCUCUGAAGAUGAACUGGAAAGUCUGGACUCCGUUCACAUUUAUAAAUAUCAACUUUGUGCCUGUUCAGUUUCGAGUACUGUUUGCCAACAUGAUCGCCUUAUUCUGGUAUGCUUACCUUGCCACUGUGAGGAAAUGAUGCUUCUUUGCAGGCUGCCUUGACUGAAGACUGAGAAGAUGCAACCAACUUCCUUAUAGGGCUAUUUUUUUUUACAUCUGAUUAAUACGUUUAAAUAUACUGUUUUAAAGUUUUGGAAUUAAAAAAAUUAAAGUAUUUUUUAAGCUUCACUUGCAGGGACCUGUAUAGAAAUCUUGUGGAAGUUUAAAAUUAUGACAUUUUUUACAUAAGCAGAACAAAGUGUUUUUUGUUGGUUUCCUUCUAUGAGCUUUACCUACUGAUCUGAACAAAUGCAGUAAUAAAAUACUAAAGAGACUUA